GACGAACGCUGGCGGCGUGCCUAAUACAUGCAAGUCGAGCGCAGGAAACUGACGGAACUCUUCGGAGGGAAGGCAGUGGAAUGAGCGGCGGACGGGUGAGUAACACGUAAGGAACCUGCCUCAAGGAUUGGGAUAACUCCGAGAAAUCGGAGCUAAUACCGGAUAGUUCAACGGACCGCAUGGUCCGCUGAGGAAAGGCGCUCCGGCGUCACCUUGAGAUGGCCUUGCGGUGCAUUAGCUAGUUGGUGGGGUAACGGCUCACCAAGGCGACGAUGCAUAGCCGACCUGAGAGGGUGAUCGGCCACACUGGGACUGAGACACGGCCCAGACUCCUACGGGAGGCAGCAGUAGGGAAUCUUCCACAAUGGACGAAAGUCUGAUGGAGCAACGCCGCGUGAGCGAUGAAGGUUUUCGGAUCGUAAAACUCUGUUGUAAGGGAAGAACACGUACGAGAGGAAAUGCUCGUACCUUGACGGUACCUUACGAGAAGGCCACGGCUAACUACGUGCCAGCCGCCGCCGUAACAC
rnacentral:rRNA from 1 species